rnacentral:rRNA from 1 species
CACCAAUCAACGCCAGGGAAUUACGAGCUAUGCUUAAAACCCAAAGGACUUGACGGUUUCCCACCCCCCUAGAGGAGCCUGUUCUAUAAUCGAUAACCCCCGCUAUACCUAACCACCCCUCGCUAUCAGUCUGUAUACCUCCGUCGAAAGCUUACCAUAUGAAUGCUUCAGUAAGCCCAAUGAUCCUCAUCAACACGUCAGGUCAAGGUGCAGCUUAAGGAGUGGAAAGUGAUGGGCUACAAUUUCUAAACUAGAACAAACGAAAGACUAGGUGAAACCCUGGUCAUGAAGGCGGAUUUAGUAGUAAAAAGAAAAUAGAGUGUUCUUUUUAACAUGGCUCUGGGACGCGUACACACCGCCCGUC